AAACGCAAGGCGCCCGUGGUGGGAAGAAGAUGACGAAACAGCGUACUUACACAGCAUAUUUUGCCGUGUGUUAAGUCACCCUUAUCUCCACUCAGAACGCUAAUCCUGUAAGUUAGGCUGGAGAACUUGUGUGAAGUUUGGACAGUAGGAGAUGAGGUACUGGCGAAAGUAAAGCUGUGAGGACGGGUCGUGAGUCAUGCUCUGGCGCUCAGUUUGUAGAGCACUUGCAAAGGUCCCAGUUCGGCACAGAGCUGUAAUCUGGCAAAAAGUUUCACACAGGCAGACACACUCCGCUGCAAGAUUUCCGUGUCAAACUGGUGGACAUUACUUCUCCAUGAUGUACAAUAUUCCAGUACACUGUGUUCAUCUUUAGCUCAUAUUUGUAAG